GAUCCUGGCUUAGGACGAACGCUGGCGGCGUGCCUAACACAUGCAAGUCGAGCGAGGAGAUUCCUUCGGGAUGAUCCUAGCGGCGGACGGGUGAGUAACACGUGGGCAACCUGCCUCAUAGAGAGGAAUAGCCUUCCGAAAGGGAGAUUAAUACCUCAUAACAUUGCAGUUUCGCAUGGAACAGCAAUUAAAGGAGUAAUCCGCUAUGAGAUGGGCCCGCGGCGCAUUAGCUAGUUGGUGAGGUAACGGCUCACCAAGGCGACGAUGCGUAGCCGACCUGAGAGGGUGAUCGGCCACAUUGGGACUGAGACACGGCCCAGACUCCUACGGGAGGCAGCAGUGGGGAAUAUUGCACAAUGGGGGAAACCCUGAUGCCAGCAACGCCGCGUGAGUGAUGACGGCCUUCGGGUUGUAAAGCUCUGUCUUCAGGGACGAUAAUGACGGUACCUGAGGAGGAAGCCACGGCUAACUACGUGCCAGCCGCGGC
rnacentral:rRNA from 1 species